CCUACGGGUGGCAGCAGUGAGGAAUAUUGGUCAAUGGACGAGAGCCUGAACCAGCCAAGUAGCGUGAAGGAUGACUGCCCUAUGGGUUGUAAACUUCUUUUAUAAAGGAAUAAAAUGAGCCACGUGUGCGUUUUUGUAUGUACCUUAUGAAUAAGGAUCGGCUAACUCCGUGCCAGCAGCCGCGGUAAUACGGAGGAUCCGAGCGUUAUCCGGAUUUAUUGGGUUUAAAGGGAGCGUAGAUGGGUUGUUAAGUCAGUUGUGAAAGUUUGCGGCUCAACCGUAAAAUUGCAGUUGAUACUGGCAGUCUUGAGUACAGUUGAGGUGGGCGGAAUUCGUGGUGUAGCGGUGAAAUGCUUAGAUAUCACGAAGAACUCCGAUUGCGAAGGCAGCUUACUAGACUGCCACUGACAUUGAUGCUCGAAAGUGUGGGUAUCAAACAGGAUUAGAUACCCGAGUAGUC
rnacentral:rRNA from 1 species